UUCUUAUUGGAUGAUGAUGACAAUCACGCGUCAUGUUCUGAUUGGAUGUCAAUUUCAUGAAAGAUAAAAUGAAUUGUUGUUUUCAUUGAUCAAUUAAAACAUGACACGUGACAAUCAUCAUGU
rfam:Glycine soja cultivar W05 scaffold4774_5, whole genome shotgun sequence.